GUUAUAUCUUAUAAACACAGUUGAUAUAUUGGUGAUUACUGUUUAAUGAUAAAGAUAACCAAAAGAUCCAAAUGUGUAGUGUUCACUGACUCCAUGCAUAUAAUUGGCCUGUGUUUUUUCUUUGGAUCAACAGUCAACUCAAACAAUUAUUUUUUUAUGCUUCAAAUCUUGUUCUGCAACUGCUAGAAGACAUGCAGCCAAAUGUUUAGUUUUGGUAGGACAGUGCCCCUCAUACUAGAACAUACAAGUGUGUAAUUUCCUCAACAAAAAAUUCCCAAAUUGUUGGAUCUUUGAGAUGAAUCAAUUGUAUGACCAUUAAUAUCCCUGACAUCAUUCCCUUUGAUUUCUGUUUAUGGGGGCUGCAUUAAAGAAACAAAGUGUACAAAAAAAAAAGAUAAUUAGGAUGGAUAGGAUUACCCAGGCUAUGAGUAGAGGAGACGUCUCCUCUGAUACUGUGACUAAUCUUCCUUCUUCGACAAUUACAUUAAUCAUAUGAAUGCCAGCCAAACACUGAUAGACCUAACUCUAAAAUUAGCAGCAAGAUUAGAAAAAAUCAUAAAACAUGAACAGUUCCUAAUAAUAUGGAAGCACAAAAAACAGGAUGCACCAGCUUUCCCGAGACUAUUUGCUUAUGUUAAGAUGCAUAAGAACUCGAUAACAGCAAGACCAAUAGUCAAAAAGAGGUUGGCACCUAUGUAUAACCUUGAAAAAACGUUAGCAAAUUGACAUAAUAAGAUAUCAGAUGAGACAGAAAGAACAACAUUAGUGAUACUAUCUGUGAUAGCAAAGCUGCAUACAGGGAAUUCAACAGAGAGGACAUACUCACAAUUUAUGACUUCGAAGCUCUCUAUCCAUUGCUAAAGCUGGUAUUAGUUUGCGUAGCAUUUUAUAAGUUUAUGAUGGAGAAUCUACUCCAGGUGCACAGCAUAACACAAUUACUGAUGGGUAUAGUCCACCUGAUAUGUUAUAGCUUAUAUUUUACAUUCAAAAGAAAAAUACACCAACAAAAAAUUGGGAUAUCAAUAGGAAGCUCGAUAACAGGCCUUCUGGCUGAAAUACUGUUAAGAUCCAUAGAAGCCCAAAAAAUGUCACCUUUCCAGCCCUCAUUGAAAUUUUAUAUGAAAUAUGUAGAUGAUAUACUAGUAGUUUAGAAAGACAUCAUGAAAAUAGAUAACUUAACUGAAGCCUUUGCAUUGGAUGGAUACGGGUAUAUUCCUAAAUAAGGACUAGCAAAGCACCUGGGCAGUACACUAUUUAGACCUAGACAUAAUAAUAUACAAUGGUCAACUCAAAACUAAAGUCUACAGAAAGGUGACGUACAACCAAUACCUCCAACCAAUACUACUAAUUAAUUCCAUUAUCCAGUAAAUUAUAAAAGAAUGGCUUUUAGAAGCUUCUACAAGAGGGCAUUAACAUACUAUGAAGAUGAAAGAAUUUAAAUCAAGAAUUAACAUACAUAGAAUAGAUAGGAUCCUUCCUACAAUAGAUAUGGAACAUGAUAAAAAGAGAAAUCUAUGCAACCAGCGACAUAAACAGGAGGAGGUAAUAGCACAGCAGAAUGAGACCUGCCCAACCCUUAUAAUAUGAACAAACUUAGCAUAAUAAAAGAAAAUUGUGGAAAAAAAAAAAAGGAAAAGUUUGCUGUACACAGGGCAUCAACACUUUUUUAUACCUUAAAGAACAAUAAAGACUCCUUGAAACAAUAGAAGAGUGGUGUAUAUAAAAUCCUGGUUGAAAAUGCAUGAACACACUCCAGGAAACAGCAUAUAUAGAGGAGUGACAAGAAGAACGUUGGCCUAAAGGGUGGAAGAGCAUAAAAGAGACAUAGCCCAAGCAAGACUGUUGAUGACCUUAGCCAUAGAAGCCUAUAAAAAAUAAAAUGGGAUGAGGUGCAAAUCAUAAAACCACUGAAUGCUCUGGCUCAAGUUUUAACUGCAGAAUCCAUAGAUAAAGUAGUAUGAAUCUAUAGUAUAUCCCUAGAUAAACAUUUGAAUCUUUAUUAAAAAGAUGAAAAACAGAAAGCAUAUUGAAUUAAAAACUGACAUUGGAACUCCCCUCCCAUGGAAAUUUGUAACUGAACAAGAAAGUCUGAGACUGCUAAAUAUUAAUUAAUGCAUUAAAACUGUUUUUUGUUUUUUUCAUAUAGUCUUAAGUACUUAUUAGCAC
rnacentral:lncRNA from 1 species